CAUAUAUAUUCCUGAAGAAUCAUACAUAGAUGAAACUUUAGGAGCACAAAAUUUUGCUAUCUUUAAUAAAAUAUCUCAAAACUAUCCGGUACAUGAUACUACCAAUAUAGGAUCAUAGCGGUCUUCGUAAUAUAUAUUCAAAAUUAAAUCCAUCAAUGUUUACAAAUAUAAAAAGUACCAAUGAUAUGGAUUAAGUACAAAAAUUACAUGUAAAAUAAUUUAAGUCAUGCCUACUUCCAAAUGUUCCUAUCUUAUGCGUUGAAUAGUCCAAAAUCACUUUCUUACACCUUAUGUGAAACUGCAAUAGAAAAUUAAUAUCUUUACUUUUCAAAUUUAUCAAUAAACAUACGAAAUUCAUAGAUUUCAUAAGACUUCAGUAUGUACGGAAAAUAAACUUUAACAUAUCAAUAGCAUAAAUAAAAAAAUAAACUCCCACUUAAAAUGGCCUAUCAUCAAAUUUGACAAUACUUAUAUAUGAGCCACACACCCAUAAAAUACUUAAGGUGGCUAACCUUACAUGAGCGGAUCCACAAUUAUUAAGUUUGUACUAAUAUGCUCAAUCGACACAAGACGACUCUGGAACCUUUAUUUUACAACCACAAACUUAACGUCUAUAUGCUUUGACUUCGAUGAACUUCGGUUGUUCUUUGGAUAUAACUCGGCAUACUUGUUAUCAUAAUGAAUUUUCAAUGAUCUUUCUAUGAUCUUUCCUGAUUUGAUGCUUCAUAAUAGGCCACAAAUUUGACUUUCAUUGUAGAGAGGCUAUUAAGAAACAACUUCUUCAUCCAUCAUGAAAACAUAACGUGAUGUAGAUUUCUACUAUUAAGAUAUCCAACAAAAUCUGAAUCAAAAUAUCCUACGAUCUCUAAUGAAUCGACCUCGGAUAAGUGAGCAUGUAACUAUUAGUUAUUUGAAGUUAUCUUAUAACCCGUUUUGCAACUUUCCAAUGAUUUAUUUUUGAAUUACGUAAAUAUCGGCCCAACAUUCCCACUAUGUGCUCUAUGUUUGGAUGUGUACAAACUUGUGCAUGCAUGAAACUUCCCACUGUUGAUGCAUAUUAGAAUUGGUCUAUCUCUUUCUUCUCUAUAUUUGGACAUUGGAGCAAACUAAAUUUAUCAUUUUUUUCCACAUGUGUAUCUGCCAGUGCACAGUUUUUCAUUCCAAAUCUACUUAUCACCUUACCAGUAUAAGUCUUUUGCGACAAUCCAAGAAUGUUUCUAGUGCCAUAAUUACUCCGCAUAGACAAAACAUGCUUACAUGUUCGAAGUAAAUAAAAUAUAUAUAAUAGAGAUUACUUUGGCAAUAUAUUGAUUCAAUCUGGUCACUUUAAACAAGAAACACAAAUUAAUAAUAACAAUUUAACUAAAUGUAAAUCUAGUUCCAAACCAAGAAAGAAUGGCAUAAUAUUGCCCCUCCAGAUUUUUAGUCAUCGUUAAAAAACUUCAGAGGAACAACUUUUAUACAAUUUUUUUUCAUGAAUAAUGAGAAAUAAAAAGUUUUCAUUCUUAUUUUCUUCGAUUAAAAAAAUAAUGAUGAAUCUUAAUGGCAGAAUACUGUCUCUGGAACAAACUUGAAGGAAACAAUAAUUUUUGCUUUUUAAAAGAAUUGAAAACAAUCCCAAAAUGAUUGUUCCAAAAUGGGAAAAAAUUAACCUUUUCUAUCAACUAAUAGAAAAGAAACUAUGCAAAACUAAAUGUCAAAACUUGCUCUAUGAAAGAAAAAACUUUUUCUUAAAGUGCCAAACCAUCACAACCAAAACAAAAUCAGAAAAAUUUAUACCACAACCUAAUCAAAAGACUAAAUUAGAUCCCAUAAAAAUAUAAUUAUCAUAUCUAAUGAUCUAAUAAGACCUUGCUCUAAUACCACUUGUUGGUAAAAUUUAAAAAAAUUCACCCAAGAUCAUAUAUAAAUCAUUAGAUAGUGAUUAAUACUAUAAGAGAAUGGUUGGGACACUAACAUUUAUCCAUAGUAUUAACUUUUGAAGAAGGACAGAUAUUCUAAACCUUGAAGAUUGCUCUUUCGGAUGCUCUUUAUCUUAGAUGGAGAGAAAAAAAGCGUUGUGAUACAAUCCAAAUUUUGCCCGAACCUUUAUAUAAGAUAUUGAAGAUGCUCGAGGUGCUUGAUGACUCCUUAGUUCUAUUAAAAAGUGUCGCAUGGAUGAAGAUUAUCAUUAAGGAAGGUCAGAGGACUUUGAAGAGGUCCUAGGAGUGCAAGAUAGAGCUAUAAGGCCUCUUUAAAAGAAUGCACACC
rnacentral:lncRNA from 1 species